rnacentral:rRNA from 1 species
GACGAACGCUGGCGGCGUGCCUAAUACAUGCAAGUAGAACGCUGAAGGAAGGAGCUUGCUCUUUCUGGAUGAGUUGCGAACGGGUGAGUAACGCGUAGGUAACCUGCCUGGUAGCGGGGGAUAACUAUUGGAAACGAUAGCUAAUACCGCAUAAAAUUGAUUAUUGCAUGAUAGUCAAUUAAAAGGUGCAACUGCACCACUACCAGAUGGACCUGCGUUGUAUUAGCUAGUUGGUGGGGUAACGGCUCACCAAGGCGACGAUACAUAGCCGACCUGAGAGGGUGAUCGGCCACACUGGGACUGGGACACGGCCCAGACUCCUACGGGAGGCAGCAGUAGGGAAUCUUCGGCAAUGGACGGAAGUCUGACCGAGCAACGCCGCGUGAGUGAAGAAGGUUUUCGGAUCGUAAAGCUCUGUUGUAAGAGAAGAACGAGUGUGAGAGUGGAAAGUUCACACUGUGACGGUAUCUUACCAGAAAGGGACGGCUAACUACGUG